UAGAGUUUGGUGUAUUUGGUAGCACGGAGAUUUUUGGAGUCUCAGGGAUGGGUUCGAAACCUAAGGCUCUAG
rnacentral:tRNA from 1 species